CUGAGAGUUCUAAUUCUGUCAACAAAAGCCUAUCUAAUAAUGAAUCAGGCUCUGUGUUAGGUGCCGAUGACAUACAAAUGAAUGAGACAUUAUCCUUGUGCCACAGAGCUCACAAUAUAGUCAGAAAGAUGGACAACUAAAACAAAGAUACAAUACAGAAUUCAAAGGGUAUACAGCUGUACAAGGCAGUAAUUAACUCUAUGAGAUAAAAAGUUGAGAAAACAGUUGAGGAAAGCAUCAAAGAAUUUUAAAGGUAAUUAAGCAUGAGCAGAACUGUGCCAGCUGAUGAGAAAGGGAAAAGACAGUAAACCUGAGAAAUAGCAAGGUGUAAUAAGCAGAAGGAAGAAAGUAAGAAAAUUGGACUGGGCACAUAUCAGGAGGCCUUGCCAUGGCCCGCCAAGCAAUUAGACCUUCUUUUGGAUAGAGCUUCCCAAGAAGUAUGCCUAAAACUUUAUUCCUUCAAGGCUUCAAAGAGACCAGGAGAAAAAAAAUGUGGGGUCACAGGGUAGCUUUUCAUGGGUGUGCAGUGUUGUGGCAUCUCAUUGUGGUUUCCCUGAUGACUAGAGAUGGCAUGCAAGAUUAGGAGGUUGUUUCCGAUGAAUUGAUACAGGCAUUAAGCAAAAGCAACUGUGAAGAUCACAAAAAGAAAACCAGGUGUGUUCUGCCAUAGUCUUGUCAAACAUUUUCUACAGUCUUGACAAAAAGAUCAAACAUGAGUGUCCAGCCUCUAGGUCCAGCUGCCUAAUGGAAAGACAGAAGAGAUAGGAACCUACUGAACUAGAUGAGGAACACAAAAUUGACAAAAUCUAAACUGUGGCAAGCUCUAUAGGUCAAAUGGGCUGGGUUUUUCAACAGACAAAUUGAGAAGAAAAAAAAAGAGGAGGAGAACCACACAGAUUGACAGAGAUUUAAAUCAAAUAUGAAUUUUUAAUAAAAUGGACAACUCUAAACUAUAAUGGACAUUGGGCGGUCAAAUUAUUUAAAACUGUGAGAAAAUGAAAACCUGUAAAGUCAGGUUCAGGGUUUCUUUUGGAGGAGGUUGUAUUGAGACAGGGCAUAUGAUUCUGGAGCAGCUGACAAAGUUGUUUCUGACCUGUGUGGAAUUCACCUUAUAAUAAUCCAUUAAGCUAUACAUUUAAUUCUUGUGGUUUUCUGUAUACUUGUCUUAUUUUACAUUAAGUAGAUUUUAUUCUCUUAAUAUGACAUGUAGAAUCUGGAACUUAAGAGUUUACAAGUUUUAGUGGUAGAAUGGUGUUUGGUGAUAAGAACUAAGGUGUGGCUGUGGAAGUGGUUGUUCACUUGAGGUAGGGAUAUUUAGUGUGGAAGAAAUUAUAAAAAAAACAACACAAAACUGAAUGGGAAGAUUUGGGAAGGCCUGAAGGAGAAAUCUGUUUAGUUCUUUUUUUUUCUUUAAGAUUUUUAACUUAUUUAUUCAUGAGAGACACAGAGAGAGAGAGAGAGGCAGA